GACGAACGCUGGCGGCGUGCUUAACACAUGCAAGUCGAGCGGAAAGGCCACUUCGGUGGUACUCGAGCGGCGAACGGGUGAGUAACACGUGAGUCAUCUGCCCCUGGCUUUGGGAUAGCCACCGGAAACGGUGAUUAAUACCGGAUACGACCACUUCUCGCAUGGGAUGGUGGUGGAAAGUUUUUUCGGCCAGGGAUGUGCUCGCGGCCUAUCAGCUUGAUGGUGAGGUAAUGGCUCACCAUGGCUUCGACGGGUAGCCGGCCUGAGAGGGUGACCGGUCACACUGGGACUGAGACACGGCCCAGACUACUACGGGAGUCAGCAGUGGGGAAUAUUGGACAAUGGGCGGAAGCCUGAUCCAGCAACGCCGCGUGAGGGAUGACGGCCUUCGGGUUGUAAACCUCUUUCAGCAGGGACGAAGCGCAAGUGACGGUACCUGCAGAAGAAGCACCGGCCAACUACGUGCCAGCCGCCGCAGUAA
rnacentral:rRNA from 1 species